GGUCUCGAGCACGGAAUUGCUGAAGUUGUGAAGGUUGAUGCUGUGAAUGCGCUCGGUCAUCCCCUUGCAACUGAUGUCACCUGCAGCAUGUCAACGCAGACACAAAACAGGCAUGGGUCAGAUCUAGCUGGCUGCAUUCCUAGCACCUAGGUUUCAGAGUAAAAAUAUAGAGUCAGCCUGUGAUGGCAUUCCCCAGAAACAUGGAAGGAAUUGCAGUAAUGAACGUCAUCAUGUAUUCUAAGUGACUGUUCUGCGAGAGCACAACACAGACGGGGCUAAAGCAGGGUAUCAUCACAGUCUUGGGACGGUGGCUGGGAGCACUGGAGAAAUCACACGCACAUGGAAGGUGGCAAGCAGACAAGAUCUCUUUCUCCUACCCUGGCUCCACAUACCUGGCAUAUCCCAGCUGUUAUUACUUCAGUAGUGAGACUAGGGAGGGUCAUCAGCCUAGGGGAGGGAGAGCUGUACAGUUUUACUUACCCAUUCUUGGGUGAAAAGGGGGAUGUUUUGGGCCAUCUCCCAAUGAGGGUUCUCCUCUAUCUUCCAGAUUGUCUAAGCCCAGUCUGGAGGACCCAUCAGGGAUUUCAGCACAUUUUUUAGCCAUUGGUAACAGAAUUCUUCACAUAAAACAUACAUCAGUUGUUGAAGUUAGAAAAAAUUUGACUUUACACUUGUAGAAAUUUGACUUUCAAACAUAUUUGCAGGAAUGGCUACCUAUGAAAGUUGGGGACUAGCUGGAUGUGCUUUUUUAGUCACUACUUAUUAUUUUAUCUAGACAAACACAUUAAAAAUUGCUAACUUGUUUACAGUA